UCCUACGGGGCGCAGCAGUGGGGAAUUUUGGACAAUGGGCGAAAGCCUGAUCCAGCCAUGCCGCGUGCAGGAAGAAGGCCUUCGGGUUGUAAACUGCUUUAGUCUAGGAAAAAGGGAUGCUUGGUUAAUACCCGAGUGUUUUGAUGGUACUGGAAGAAUAAGCACCGGCUAACUACGUGCCAGCAGCCGCGGUAAUACGUAGGGUGCGAGCGUUAAUCGGAAUUACUGGGCGUAAAGCGUGCGCAGGCGGUCUUGUAAGACAGUCGUGAAAUCCCCGGGCUUAACCUGGGAACUGCGAUUGUGACUGCAAGGCUAGAGUGUGUCAGAGGGGGGUGGAAUUCCACGUGUAGCAGUGAAAUGCGUUGAGAUGUGGAGGAACACCGAUGGCGAAGGCAGCCCCCUGGGAUAACACUGACGCUCAUGCACGAAAGCGUGGGGAGCAAACAGGAUUAGAUACCCUGGUAGG
rnacentral:rRNA from 1 species